rnacentral:rRNA from 1 species
CACGUAGGGUGCGAGCGUUGUCCGGAAUUAUUGGGCGUAAAGAGCUCGUAGGCGGUGUGUCGCGUCGGCCGUGAAAACCUGCAGCUUAACUGUGGGCUUGCGGUCGAUACGGGCAUCACUGGAGUUCGGCAGGGGAGACUGGAAUUCCUGGUGUAGCGGUGAAAUGCGCAGAUAUCAGGAGGGAACACCGGUGGCGAAGG